AGCAUGCAUCAGCCACAUCCAUGCUAUCUCCUAAAGCAGUCAUUCUGAAACCCAAUCUGGGGACAGUGCAGACUAAAUAAAAUUUCAUUUUGAUUUGGCCUCCCGCUGAGAAUGGGACUGCUUUGUUUCAGCCGACAGAACCAGCAAGCCAGAAAGGUGUUGAAUACACAAAUACUGACUUAACAGAAAAUUAUAAACAUGCUUUUGAGAAUCUUAUUAUUUGACUUGGAAGUUACCUCCAGUGUUACCUAGAUGAUUAUCAAUAUGCAAUUUGGAUUUGGCUUGCUUGAUGCUGGACGAUUAAUGAAGGAAGCCCUAACUGGACAAAUGUUGGUCUCCUGAGACAAUGUGUUGUUGAUAACAGGUCUGAUUUGAGCAAGUCUAGUCAAAUUCAAUUUUAAUAGUAUUUAAAGGCACACACAGGACACAUACAGCUGAGCUUUUGGCUGGUUUGUCUAUUUUUAAUGUCUGUUGUGUUACCAAAGCCUAUUCCCAUCAAAUAUUAAACUUUGCAAGGCAGUAAAGACACAUACCUGUCAGCAGCAGAGACACAAAUUUAGCCUCAGUAUAGCAGAAUUUGUUCAAAAUUUGCCUUUCUUCUUUCAUACUUAUGCAGUCUGGAAUAUGUAAUUCAUCACUACAUGACUAUUCCUGUGGAGGAAUUAUUGCACUCUGAUUAUUUUGAACCCUAAAAAUUAUUGAUUGAGGUAAAGAAGAGACAAGAAGGUAUUGCAAUCAGUUCUCAAUCUAGUGAGGGCAAUCUGCUUAAAGGCAACUAAUCCUUAGCCUAAAAGCUGUAUGCAGUUGCUACUGCUCCUACAGGACUUUUCACAUCUCUGUGCCUGUGUCAUUUAUGUGAGGUACAAAACGUUUUCCACUGCACUACCAAAAUCAAGAUAACCACCAAACAUCAAGGCACUAUCUUAUUGGAUUGCUGCAUUGACUGUGAAAUUCAGCUCACAGCUCAGUCACAGCUCCAACUGAGGAGGAAAAAAGUCUCACAUGCCACCAGAAUGCUGGGCUUCAGGACGUCUCCUCUCUCAUAAAGUGAAAGCAACGGCAUCUAAAGUCAGCAGGGUCUAGAGUACUUUUCUCCUUCCAAGACCUCCCAUUUUCUACAGAGAGAAGGUUAUUGAAACAGAGCCUAAUGGCCAGCUCCCUGCAGGACUAGAAAAGGAUUGACAAUAAGAUGUGGAUGUUCAUCUUUAAUGAACUCUAGCCACCAAGUGGAAGCCAGCUAAAUUUGAUGAUGCAAUUGACUACCUUCUCAGUAACAGCUGAAUAUCUGCUCCUCAAAAUGAGCAAGCCUGUUAACUGCAAAUGGGAAGAGAUGAAGCAAGCAAAAAAAAAAAGUGUGAAGAGCUUUGCUGCCAUAUCAUCCCUGUAUCAGAUAGUUUUAGGAUCAAUGAAUGAAUAGGUAAGAGAGACUGUUAUUCUACAGAGAAGGGCUAUUCCAGAGAAAUGAAGGGGGAAAAAUUAAAAGGCAGAUCAGUACAUUGUCACUAUAUGAUGACAAUAUUAGAGAAAAGCAUUCAUUUGUCUUCUUUUAAUUUUGGAUCUUUAUAGUGGAAGAGUACUUCAGAGAGAUCUAGAUAAUAAUAUAUUUUAUCUUAUCAAGUGUUGCCACAGUACCAGUAUUUUUGUUUUCUUGUUGGAGUUACUCAUGUAAGAGAAACCACUCUGCUGUAUAAGUUAAAAGAUCACAUUCUGUCCUUCAUUUUUGCACUUUAUGUUAUAAGACACUUUGUUUACUAUAGAGGUAAUAGAUAUCAUCACCUUUGGUUAACCAUGAAAGUGUUGAUUUUCAAAUUAUUAGAAGUUUUAAUUAUUCUAAUUAUAAGUAAUUCUGAUGCAAUGACAUUUCACACGCAGAAGUUAUAUCAGUGAAAAUCACUUAGGAUAACAGGCAGAAAUUAAUUUUUUUUCUCUGAAUAUUCAUAGUACACUGGAAAUUGGGAGGUCAGGAUUUCUCACAGAUAAGACCAUUCACUGCAGUGUUUCCCUCCAUGGAGUUACAUGCUACAUUCCCUUCCUCCCUUAUACACUAAAGCAAGAGAAACAUUUCCCUCACGAGCAGGGAUUCAGUGGUCUUCUUUGUCAGGCACUAGUUUUGGUGGUUUUGGUGCUGUACAAGGCAGAAGAUAUGGGAGAUGUCUGGAUUGUCAGCAUCAAGUGGUUACUUUAAAUGCCAGAGGUGGAGGAGUUCUGGAAAGAGCUGAAAAAAUACAAGUAGAUUAAUUUGCACUUCACAGAAGUUUCUGUUAGAAUAGAGGCAGAAAGGGACUGAAAGAGUCAGGAAGAGAAGAAAACAUAGAGGCAAAGUAAUGGCAAAAAUUAAACAUUAAAUAUUUCCUUUAACUGCACUCAGAGAUGGGGAUUAUAUUUGACCAAACAACCAAAUCCUCCACCACAAGUCAGAGCUAAGGCUAACUCCACUUUUUUAUUUCAAUACUUUCAAUAGAAAGGACCCAGUCAAUUAUUCUCUGUGUGCUAAAUAGUAUACUAGCAACACUAAUAGACCAAGCAGAUGGUUUUGUGGCAUUGUAUGAGUGGUAUAAUAUUUUACUGUAAAUAUAAAUAGGAUACUCACCUUGUUGAAGUUCCCAAUGUACUUUAUAAUAAACCAAGUAAUUUUGACAGUAAAAUGUUGACCAACCCUAGCCUAACAGCAUUCACAUUAUGAGCUGAAUACUGACACAAAUCCCGUCCAUUAGCAAAAGAGUCGGCGGUAUUACAUUGACUUUUACAAUUUGAAGGAUAAAUACAGAAAUGUGAGAGAUGGAGUAAUAAAAGCCAUGUAGUCCCUGCUCUUCAAAGGUCUCAUCCAGACCCUACAAAGGUAAUAUGCCUACUCUUUUUGAUUUUAAUAAGCUUUGAAAAGUCAAAAAUCAUUGAAAAUUAAUAACAGGAAAAAGAAUCAGUCUGUUUAUAUUUGUUGGGUUAUAUCCAUAAUAAACUUAUUAAAAAAAAGAAAAUGGUAGAACACAUUAAAACAGAUCCAAAUACUAAAUUAAUUCUAGCUUUCAAGAUUACCUCAUUUUCUGCUCCAGCGUUAAGUGUGUGAUGACUUUUCCAAAGCCUUUAUUGAAAACAUUUCUUUUCCCAUCAUGGAACUAUGCAUCUUGCUUUCUUCUUGCAGCUGUUCCUUCUAGAGACACGAAUCUUUGGACAAGCAGUUACCAAUAUCAGAGGGUAGUCUGGAAUGUACCACCACCUGGGACACCAAAGGAUUACAGAUUGCUCUCAUGGGAACUGCUGGGUGAGGGGUGGUGGUGGUGGGUCAGGAAAAUGUCCAGCUAAAGCAGAGUGCCCAGGAGUGCCCCAGGGAACAGAAGCAAGGCCAAACAACAUUGUGCCAAACACAGAUUUCUGAGCUAACCUGUAUUUUCAGGUAGAUUUUAUCCUUACAGUGGGUUUUUAUCUGACAAUAAAAUAAAGCAAACAAACGGACUAUAAGGUUGGAUCCUCAUUCUGCCUUUCACAAAAGGAGAACUGAGGAAAAGACAGAUGGAGUGAUUUUCUGGAGCAAGUUGAGCCCUAGGUCGAAUUGGAUCUCCUGUCUUGUUCAGAGGCUGCCCUUUCCUGACUGUGAUGUGGAAGAAACACAGCCAUUAGCAGGCACCUGCAAAAAUGCUCCACCUGUUUUUGCUCAAAGUGACAAAGCCCAGAGGACUAUGUCUGUGUUGUUCCCUGCAGGUCUGUGGGGAGCAUGAUGUAGCUGAUGCAAUUCCCAGCUCCAGCACACCUGCAAGGUCUCAUUGAUCCGCUGUUCAGUGCUCUGAAAACUCAGAAAUCUAUUAUCAGUGUGAGCAUGUGCUUAUUGAUCAGGUUACCUGCUUCUGCUCCCUGUGUGCACCUAAUUGUACCAGCAUACACACACACACACACACACAUAAAUAUUCACACAUGUGUGCAUAGAUACAGGUGCACACACAUGGGUUACGGGGAUGUGUGCAUGAUAAAGGCUUUUCCUUUUUUUAGCUUUACAAAACUGCACAUAAAUAAAAAGAAUGGACCUUCCCUGUGAAACGUGAGCACAGAAACGCUCACAAGUGGCCAAGAGCUGCUAAAUAAUUAAUCAAUAGAGCAGUGUGGCAGUUUGAAAUGUAAAUGUGAUGGAUGAAGGUGUGAUGCUUGUCAUCAAGCAGAAAAUGAUGUGACUAGAAUGGAUAACCCACAGUACCUGCUAACUGGCAAGAGCUUGGACACAAAGAUAAAGUAAAGCCAUCAGAAAGCAGACCUGGCAACCCCUAAUUCUUGCCUUUGACCCACAAUUCACUUUCAUGUCUCUGUCCCAGAAGAGAUGUUUAAAAAAAUGAUGAAGAGAGAUCUUGGGGUGGGAAAGGGGUGAGAAAAAAACCAUCUGAAGAAAUGCUACCUGACAAGGCUGCAGGCUACGUUCUUGAGAACACCUUUCUUUUCUUUAUGUUCUCCUUCUCCCGUUAAAUAAAAAUGCGGCUCCUUUUUUCCCUUCCCUUUCUUCCGAAACUCUCCCGAGCCGUUCCUGCAAGUGGUUCUGUGACUCGGGAGCUGAAAACAGCCGCAUGCAAAGGAACAAAGAAUGAGAGUGACAAUUCAGAGUGCACGCAGGUGAGAAAGACACCUUUUACUUAUCAAACUAGGCUGCAAAAAAUGCUCUUUUUACUCAGCGAGCUAGAAAUAGCGGUGAUCUAACAAGGCACUGAUCCAAAUUCUUUAUUUAUGCUGAGAUGUAAUGCUAACAGGAUUUUUAGGUUGACUAGUAGUCUGUGGCCCCUCCGUUCAAGGAAGGAAGCAUUCCUCUGAUUUGGAAAGAGGAAAAUCCAUAUAAUUACUGUAUAUUAUGUGACAGGAAAAUGUAUGCUGUGAUGCUAAAGGGUGACAGAAAAUGUCCAUCAAAAAAUUUGUUUUCAGUAACUUCCUAUGCCAGUCAUUGCAUUCUCUCUGCAGAGAAACAUAACAUGAUCGAGCUCAAUUGGUCCAAAUUUGAGAUAAAUUAACUUUUGUAAAAAAUGGGAUUUUUUUGAUCCUUUUUUUCCCCUAUAAAAUUGCAAGCCUGCACAUAGGAUUUAAAAGUUAGAUGUCUCCUUCUCCCUCGAAAAGAGAAACCUCUUUCUCAGUAAGUACCAUUUAGCAGGUUGGGGAUUUUUUUUCCUCUUUUGUUAUCAAAAGCACAGUCUUUACAGAAAGUGAAAAAUACCACAAUUUUACAUUAAAAUUUCAAACUCGACAAAAUAUACAUUAGCAGAUAACACCCACUAAAAGUGAAAGCUAAAUAUAGAUAUAUAAUAAUAGUGCUUUGGCAUGCAAAAUAGAUGUUCUACCAUUUCUAAGUCAUAAAAUAUAAAUACAAGUAUUCUCUUAAAAUCUUUUUGUGUUUUUAGGACCCCUACAGAUGUGAAGCAGCCUGCAGAAGCAGCAGAUCUCCAGGUGAACUGGCCAUUGUUUCCAUAUUUCCUCAAAUGAUUAUUUUUACCUUUUUUUGUUGGGAUCAGGUUUUUAAUCUUUAUGAUUCCUUUAUAAAAGAGUCAUCAAGAAAACACAUAAGUAUUUCUACACUUCUAGUAUUUCUACACAUUUCUACACAAAAAAAAAAAAAAAAGGUGCCAAAAUUAAUUUGGAAGUUGAGAAUUAGAGCUUACAUUAAAAUAGAACCCUAGUUUGCCCAGCUCCAUAGUAAACAACCCACAUUUUGUCUGGGAUGGGUUGCUGAUGUAAAUCCAUUGAAGGGAAAUCCUUUCUGUAAGUUGGCUACCUGGAUAAGCUUUGAGCAAAGUGCCAGCUAUCAGUGCAUACAAGAAUCACCAUGGUCCAAAUAAAUUAUUUCCUCUUUAGAAUGGCAAAAAUGUGGUCUGAUUGGUAAUUCAGCUUGAAUUUCAUUUUUGGGGCAUUUUAAGUCAUGUUUUCAAAGUUGUUGUUUUGGAGUUUUCAUCUAGCUCAUGUCAGAGCCACUUAGCUGUAUAUAUUUACUGACACAGCAGGCACAUUCAUAAUAAUUUUUAGUGUUUUUUCACAGCUUCACAAAUGCAAUGUCAUCAUAAGCAGGAAUCAGACCUGAGAAUUUGGAAAAAUAUGAGUACACCAGUCUGUAGGAUGGAGGAAUGAUCCCACACUUUACAUCUGUUAUGUUUUUGAGGGGAUAUGUUCAUAGAUUUUGCAGUGUUAGAAAGGAAUUUGGUCUAAUGGCUCACAAAGAUUGAUGCUGAGUAUAAGCAAUUGCCAUAUUGCGGUAAUGUAGCAAUAUUUAUCACUAGUAGGUCUUCCAUUCCCUCAUAAACUGCUGUAGAAGAGGAAAAGAGACAUUUUAGCAGUCUGUUGUCACUAAACUCACAGAAGUCCAUUUCUGUACCUCUAGUCUGUCUCCGCUGCAGAGGGUCUUGCAAUAGAGAGAUGACAGAUUGGGUUGUAAAUGUGCAUCAGUCAUCCCCAGCCUCAGGGAAGGAGAGGCACCUACUCAGGCUGGAGAGAGCUGUGAGGCACCCUGUCCUUGUGCCCAGAAUGGAGGACCAGCCCACUGCUGUAGAGGUGCUUACCAGCCUAGCAAUAGGAGCAGUGGUUCACUGUGAUAGGAAAUGUACAAAUACACCAGCAAUUAGCCAACAUUUUAAAAUAUCAUAGAAACACAGGUACCACCAGGACUUCACUUUCUUCCCCCUUUAAGUUUGCUAGGUACAUAGAGGAAAGGGACGUAAAAAUUAACCUGAAAAAGACAGAGCUAAAAAACAGAUCUGAGUCUUAAACCCCAAAGUGGUCUCCAGCAGCUGCCUACUGCAGAGGUGAAGCUGAUAACCCCCUAGCAGAGUGUCCCAGAUCACUGCCCCAGGCUCAAGCACUUUGAAGCUUGGACACUUCCCGAGUUAGGAAAUUUUGCCUACCUUGCUGUAGCGAUGAUUGUUUAAAUAUACAGCCAUGACUUGCCCAUACAAGCAGGCUUUGUUUCACCCCAAGUGUUAUGCCAAACUAGUUGUAUAUCAUCAUGAAGAAUAACUGCAUUUCCCCAGAGUUGAUUUCCUAUGGCACAUUUUACUUAGAUACUUUCUCAACACCCUCGCAAAUAUGUCAUAGAUCUAAAGCACAAUCUCAGUUUCAAAAUGAAUGGGUCUGAUUACAGGCAUAUUCAUUUUGUAAAAGGUACAAAAGGAUACAAAUGUGCCUUUCCAUCUCCUAUAAUGUCAAAGUAAGACCCUCUUGCCCUUUUAUUUCAAUCCCCGCAAUUUGAAAAUAUAAAAAAAUGACUUGAUUAUAUGUUUUUUACCAUUAAGUGUAUAAUUGCUUUUGUGUUUUGACAUUUAAUUCCUCUUACCAAAAUACAUGGUAGGAAUUAAAAGUCAAAUCUUUUAUGUAUUUGAUGUACAGAACCUUCCACAUGUUUCAAUAAGAAAUAUAGAGCUGUGAAACCUCAUGGCAGGUACAGUGAAGCCAUCUGAAAAUGAAGUCACUUUUUUAGACUGGAAAUCUGACUGUGGCCCCAGUUCUGCCCUCCCUUAUCUAGGUCAAUGGCUUUUGAAAUCACUGGAAGGUCUGAAUGAGUCAAAACCAAGCAAAACCUGAAGAACUUGACCUUUAAAAUAGAGCUGGGAUUAUACCGUGCCCUCUUGGGCAGAUUUUGAGAUUACAGUCCAGUCUGAAAAUUAGUUCUGAAAGCCAUAAGACAGGAGUUGGCCAGGCAGUUGAGUGUAUUGACCUGGUAUGGGAUGGCAGUAGGAAGGAGCACAGAUCCCAGAAGGGAGGAACAGGAGGAGCAGGGAGCAUCAGUGGGCUAUUUCAGUUGGCCCAAGGCCAGCAGGAAGACUCUGAUGUUGAGAGAGAAAGUGAACUCUGGGCUGCUGAAAAGGUCUAGCUGCACACAAUAUGCUUGUAGGUGUUUCACAUGGGUUUUACCUUCCCAUUGUCUCAACUUUCCCAGUAAGGUUUUCCUACUUCAUGUAUUGUCCUCCCCUCUAUUGCAUUCUUCUUACUCUUUCUCACAGUUUUCAUAUUCCUCCUUUUCAUCUCUUCUUCUGUCUCUCUUUCAUUACUUGUGCCCUUUAUUUGAAUUCUCUCACUCCUUUCUUCCCUGUACUGCAUGCCAAAUUCUCCAUCUUUACCUUAAUUUCUGUUCAUACUCAUUCACAACCUACAGUAUGAGAUUUCUUCUGGCUGUAUUUCCUUCCACUGGUCAUUCCACUGUGAUUUAUCCCCAUUCACUCAAGUCCCAAAGUGACUCGACCCUACAGCCGUAGCUGGGAUUAGUGACCUGAGGUUCAGAUUUAUGGAGUCUAGUGCUGUCUGAAAGAGUUUUCUGCAAUCUGGGAAGCGGACUCUGUCUGGGACAUCAGAUGAAUUGAUCUUGGGACUGCUUGAGCCAGGAAUUUUGAUGGUAGGCAGUAAUUGCAAACAAGAGCUCAGCAAUGCUCUUCCCAACAUUGGUAUUCUCCCUCACAAAUUCCGUCAUGCCUUCUAACAAAAACUGCUGCUGUAGGAAAAUAUGCUCUUGGAGUAAAAUUUUUGCUGUCUUUCUCCUUUUCCCAAAGCAAGGGACACAAUUUUCUUUCUUUCACCUCAGGAAAAAUUCCAUCAACAAAGGUAAAGGAGGAAGACAAAAGGUAUCAAGGAAGAGAAGUAAAGGGAGCAGGAAAUAGUUGCAUCAGGAAGAAGCAAGUCAGAGAGAGAGGGAGGAGGGGGGGCAGAGAGAGUGAGAGAGCUGAUAAUAUCUCCACACAACAGUUGUAAGUGUCACCAAAUCUCAUGGAGACACACUUAGCUCCCCAUAAUGAAAGCAGCUUGCAUUGCAUGGGUGCCAGCCGCACAAAUGCUGGAAAUUGCCUCCCUUUGGCCAUCAUGUGCUUGCACUUUGCAGGGGGAAUGAGAGAGCUUGGGGCUGUUCCAGACCAGCCGUGGCUUCCAAGGGCCUCCUUGGAAUGAGGGCAUCCUAUUGCUGGCAGGAUUGUGAGCAUGAAGAACUUUCCAGAUAGUCUUCCUUUGGUCGCAAGAUGACAGUGAGAAUGGAUUGUCAAACUGGACCACUAUGACAAUUUACUCUGAGGGAGAAAAUCCUGUGGGUGUUUAGAAGCUUUACUGUAAGUUAUAUUUGAUUAACUUAUCCUACCACUGACAAAUAAUUAGGUCAGCAAUUAAUUUCAAAAUGCAAAUGUUCUACAGGCCUUCAUAGUUUAAGAAAUUCCCUUUGUCUUUAGUUACUACUUGUGUUAAAGUCUUAAUGGAUUUAGCUGAAUGAAGAAACAAAAUUAUGUUUUCUAAUGCUUUAUUUACUUGGUUGAGUUGGACUUUUUCAGCAAAUAUUGACAGCAAAUGUUUGUUCAGAAAUGAUCAUGUGGAAAGAAAACAAAAGACUAAUUAUGAACCACUUCUUUUAUAUAUGUAUGUAUAUAUAUAUAUAUAUAUAUAUGUAUGUAUAUAUAUGUUCACACUUCUGCUGCAAAAUACUUGUCUACCUUCAUGACAUAGGAACAGAAAGACAAACCAGACGGUCAGGAGGAGAUCAUUGUGGCAAAAUCAUUAGUACCUGCUUAAGCAGUCUAAGAAACCAGGGUAUAUCAGAAAAAAAAACCCCAUACCUAAAACUGAUAUAAGCAUGUCUCAAAGGAACCUAUCUACCAACCUAUUUCAGGGACUUUAUUAUUAAGCAAACACAGAUUAAAAGGCUCAACCCUUCCCAAGAGAAGCUCAAGGGAGUUUUCUGUUUAGGGAGUGAGGCACCUAAGUCUGUGUUUUCUGUGAUUAAAAUCAUGCAAUUUUUUAGAAAAUAUUCAGAAUAUGCUGCUGUAAACAAAACCAACCUGCUAUCCUGAUGUAAAAUUUGAAUGAAUUUACACAGGUGGCAGAAUUAUAUUAGAAUUUUCUAUGAGUUAUUUUCCUCAAAGUUUUCAAGUCAAGAAGGAGAACAACCACUCAAAAAUUAGGUGAGGGUUUUUCACAAAAUUUUACUGACUGAAGAUGAAAAUAAUUUUUAUGCUUAAUGAGGCAAGCCACUUUGGAAGAAAUAAUGGUUAAAAAAAAAGUCAAGUUUUUGGUUUAAAAUGAUGCUUUCAUAUCACAUUCGCCUAAAUUAGUAAUGCAAAUAAUUACAUGAGAAAAAAAAAUAGAAAAUAAGAUAAAACUAAACAUUGCAUUUUUAGGGGGUUUUCAUAUUGGAAGGAAAACAGAGAGAAAGAGAAGAAUUGCAUGGGGUCAAAUGUGUCUCAUGUACACAGAAAAAGCUUGGUUUCCAUUCUCCUCCAAAAGAUAACAUCCAGGACCCUCUUUCCCUCCUAAGCAGCUCCUGAAGAACUUUGAAGGUUCCACUAGGUAGGAGCAGGCAACACAAGACUGAAGCUUGAUUUUGAAUGAGGGAGAAUCUCUCUUUUUCUCUCCUCCCAGAGUUGCGGGAAAGAAAAUCAGAAGCAUAUCUGGGUGCCAGAGGGCUGAGCUGUUGGGAGCUGAGCAGGCAGAAGCUUUCUUGUAAGAUAAGGGAGUGAUCAUGCUGCUCAGCUGCGCGCUGGCAGAGACCCCAUUAAAAAAUCACUUUUCAAAAAAGAUACAGCUGCCUUCAAAAGUGUCCGAAGGAGAGGAAUGGGAAUGAUCAGAAAUUUGGGAAAUGUCACCUGCAAAGAAAUCUGAACUGGGGUGAUUUCAUCUGGAAAAGAAAAUGAGUGGACAUAAAACCAAGGACUUCAAAUGUUAAAAGCCUUCUGGGAAGAGGCAGGGAAGAGUUUGUAUUUCAGGACUACAGCCAGAUGACAGAAAGUGACAGUACUACAUUGAAACAAAGGAAAGUCAGGUCAAAUGCUGGCAAAAAUUUUCACACAGUGAAGACAUUGAAGCUGUGGAAAUUAUUGUUUAUGGAGGAUCUGGAUUUUCCCGCACUGAAGACCUUUGAGAAUAGGCUACACAAUCUACUUUACAAAAUAAUGUGAAUAUAGUUUUUAGCUGACAGAAAUUCCUUAGCAGUUAUUACAUUGAUAUUUAAAUUUAUUUUAAGAAGCUGAUGGAACUCUUACUUUUGUGGUACCAUAAAAAAAAAACCUUUUAAAUUAAUCCAGGGCAAGAAACACACUCUAAAUGCCCAGUACAGCUGCCAUUGUGAGUGAGAGCAAUUGCCAUUGGGACUUAUCUGCUGAAACAGGACAGAUAGAAUGGUCUGCAUGACCAAAGGUGAGCUCAUUAA